rnacentral:ncRNA from 2 species
UAUGUCCGCUGGGGGUGCUUUUAGCUGAGAUGGCAGAUGCCAAACCCCUAGAACCUGAUUAGGUUAAUGCCUACGAAGGGAAUGCGGCAAAAGACCGCA